rnacentral:lncRNA from 1 species
CCCGCCUCGGCCUCCCAAAGUGCUGGGAUUACAGGCAAAAUAAACUUUAUAAAUUAACUGAGACCCGUCUCAGAUUUUCUGGGUUUACACUGGGGACCUCUGGCUGCUCACCAGGCAGUUCCUGACUGGACCUGGGUCCCAUAGGUGACCACCCCAGACUUGGCCAGCCCCCAUGGAGCUCACAGUCUACACACGGAACAAUGACACCGGAAACAAUAUCAUUACAAACAUGAUCGGUGGGCCAGGGCUUCUUCCAGAGGUGGCCAGAGACCCACCCCUGGCUCUGACUGCUGCGGGGAAGCCGUAGGGGAGGGCCUCUUGGAGGGCAGGUGAUCUGGACAGAGGGACCAACGUGUGCAAAAGCCCUGUGGGGGCAGAUGCUGAGAAAUAAGACACACAGGAAGGUGGAGGCCUGAUGGGACCUGUCAUAUGGAGAGGGGACUCAUUCCCUUGGCAGUGGCCAUGCCUGGUGCAGGGCCCAGAAAGAAGUCAGAGCUGGCAUCUGGGGCCAGGUAGCUGGCAUGCACAUCUCAUCUGAGCCUCACAGCUAUUAUUAUUACCCAGUUGGAAGGACAGGGAAACCGAGGCUCCCAGAGACGACUUGAUUUGCCCUCCUCACAGCCUCAGUGCGAGGAGGGAGGCCCCCCAGCCCCUCUCCUCACACCAGCCUUGUGACACCAUGUGCCAAUGUGUGCCUCGUGCCUUUCACUGUCUUCUCAACAUCUUCCUGCAGCUUCCAGACUUUCUAAAUGCGAAUGUAGUAUAACCCAGCGUGGGCUCUGCCCCUGGGUCCUUCGCUGCACCUCCACUCCCUU